UCCUACGGGAGGCAGCAGUGAGGAAUAUUGGUCAAUGGGCGAGAGCCUGAACCAGCCAAGUCGCGUGAGGGAAGACGGUCCUAUGGAUUGUAAACCUCUUUUGCCGGGGAGCAAAAAGCGGUACGUGUACCGCAUCGAGAGUACCCGGAGAAAAAGCAUCGGCUAACUCCGUGCCAGCAGCCGCGGUAAUACGGAGGAUGCGAGCGUUAUCCGGAUUUAUUGGGUUUAAAGGGUGCGCAGGCGGCGAGUUAAGUCAGCGGUAAAAUUUCGGGGCUCAACCCGGACGAGCCGUUGAAACUGGCUUG
rnacentral:rRNA from 1 species